rnacentral:rRNA from 1 species
GAUGAACGCUGGCGGCGUGCCUAAUACAUGCAAGUCGAGCGAACGGACGAGGAGCUUGCUUCUCUGAUGUUAGCGGCGGACGGGUGAGUAACACGUGGAUAACCUACCUAUAAGACUGGGAUAACUUCGGGAAACCGGAGCUAAUACCGGAUAAUAUUUUGAACCGCAUGGUUCAAAAGUGAAAGACGGUCUUGCUGUCACUUAUAGAUGGAUCCGCGCUGCAUUAGCUAGUUGGUAAGGUAACGGCUUACCAAGGCAACGAUGCAUAGCCGACCUGAGAGGGGGAUCGGCCACACUGGAACUGAGACACGGUCCAGACUCCUACGGGAGGCAGCAGUAGGGAAUCUUCCGCAAUGGGCGAAAGCCUGACGGAGCAACGCCGCGUGAGUGAUGAAGGUCUUCGGAUCGUAAAACUCUGUUAUUAGGGAAGAACAUAUGUGUAAGUAACUGUGCACAUCUUGACGGUACCUAAUCAGAAAGCCACGGCUAACUACGUG